CCUACGGGAGGCAGCAGUAGGGAAUUUUCCGCAAUGGGCGAAAGCCUGACGGAGCAAUACCGCGUGAGGGAUGACGGCCUGUGGGUUGUAAACCUCUUUUCUCAAGGAAGAAGUUCUGACGGUACUUGAGGAAUAAGCAUCGGCUAACUCUGUGCCAGCAGCCGCGGUAAUACAGAGGAUGCAAGCGUUAUCCGGAAUCACUGGGCAUAAAGCGUCUGUAGGUUGUUUAGUAAGUCUGCUGUUAAAGACUGGGGCUUAACCCCAGAAAAGCAGUGGAAACUGCUAGACUCGAGUGUGGUAGAGGUAGAGGGAAUUCCUAGUGUAGCGGUGAAAUGCGUAGAUAUUAGGAGGAACACCAAUGGCGAAGGCACUCUACUGGGCCAUAACUGACACUGAGAGACGACAGCUAGGGGAGCAAACGGGAUUAGAUACCCCGGUAGUCCUAGCCGUAAACGAUGGAUACUAGAUGUUGCACGUAUUAACCCGUGCAGUAUCGUAGCUAAGGCGUUAAGUAUCCCGCCUGGGAAGUACGCUCGCAGAGUAGAACUACAAGAAGUUAGACGGCGUGAGACGUGCCGACGGACGACGACGAGGGAGGUAGG
rnacentral:rRNA from 1 species